rnacentral:rRNA from 1 species
CUCGAUGAGUAGGGCGGGACACGUGGUAUCCUGUCUGAAUAUGGGGGGACCAUCCUCCAAGGCUAAAUACUCCUGACUGACCGAUAGUGAACCAGUACCGUGAGGGAAAGGCGAAAAGAACCCCGGCGAGGGGAGUGAAAAAGAACCUGAAACCGUGUACGUACAAGCAGUGGGAGCACAGGUUUACCUGUGUGACUGCGUACCUUUUGUAUAAUGGGUCAGCGACUUAUAUUCUGUAGCAAGGUUAACCGUAUAGGGGAGCCGAAGGGAAACCGAGUCUUAACCGGGCGUUAAGUUGCAGGGUAUAGACCCGAAACCCGGUGAUCUAGCCAUGGGCAGGUUGAAGGUUGGGUAACACUAACUGGAGGACCGAACCGACUAAUGUUGAAAAAUUAGCGGAUGACCUGUGGCUGGGGGUGAAAGGCCAAUCAAACCGGGAGAUAGCUGGUUCUCCCCGAAAGCUAUUUAGGUAGCGCCUCGUGAAUUCAUCUCCGGGGGUAGAGCACUGUUUCGGCUAGGGGGCCAUCCCGGCUUACCAACCCGAUGCAAACUGCGAAUACCGGAGAAUGUUAUCACGGGAGACACACGGCGGGUGCUAACGUCCGUCGUGAAGAGGGAAACAACCCAGACCGCCAGCUAAGGUCCCAAAGUCAUGGUUAAGUGGGAAACGAUGUGGGAAGGCCCAGACAGCCAGGAUGUUGGCUUAGAAGCAGCCAUCAUUUAAAGAAAGCGUAAUAGCUCACUGGUCGAGUCGGCCUGCGCGGAAGAUGUAACGGGGCUAAACCAU